GACGUAGGGCGCGAGCGUUGUCCGGAUUUAUUGGGCGUAAAGAGCUCGUAGGCGGCUUGUUGCGUCAGCUGUGAAAACCCGCAGCUCAACUGUGGGCUUGCAGCUGAUACGGGCAGGCUUGAGUUCGGUAGGGGAGACUGGAAUUCCUGGUGUAGCGGUGAAAUGCGUAGAUAUCUGGAGGAAUACCGGUGGCGAAGGCGGCAUCCUGGACCGACAUUGACGCUGAGGAGCGAAAGCCAGGGGAGCAAACGGG
rnacentral:rRNA from 1 species